rnacentral:rRNA from 1 species
AUAAUCUACCCGAUAGAUCGGGAUAACAUUUCGAAAGAGAUGCUAAUACCGAAUAGGCCCACAAUGUCCUUGGACGAUGUGGGAAAAGGUGGGGACCUUCGGGCCUGCCGUUAUCGGAUGAGUCCGCGUCCCAUUAGCUAGUUGGUAGGGUAAUGGCCUACCAAGGCUACGAUGGGUAGCUGGUCUGAGAGGAUGAUCAGCCACACUGGAACUGAGACACGGUCCAG